GGUUAGCGAUUAUCGGAAACGGUAUGUCGCGCAGCUACGCCGUCUGGGAUAAUGGCUGAAAGCCUCUUAAGCCAGAAGCCCAUCUAGAAAGUGAUGCACGUGAUGUUGGACCGAUACGAAUAAUCAUACUCAAAAGGUCCGCUUCAUAGGUAACCCAAUGUAGAAGACAUUGUGUGAACGAAGGUACUGUAAGCAGUGGAGUGGCAUUACGUCCACGACCUGUUGAGGUUCAGCUUCGCUUCUAGGUUUCCAAAUAUUUUGG
rnacentral:ncRNA from 1 species